rnacentral:rRNA from 1 species
UUGAACGAUGGUGCGGCGGCCGGGGGAGGACGUAGGUGUGAAUGGUUGGUCGGAUGUAUUGGGGUGAAAGGGUGCGUAGGCGGGUCUAUAAGUCAGGGGUGAAAUCCGGCAGCUGAACUGUCGAUGUGCCAUUGAUACUGCAGAACUUGAGUACAGACGAGGUAGGCGGAAUUGACGGUGUAGCGGUGAAAUGCUUAGAUAUCGUCAAGAACACCGAUAGCGAAGGCAGCUUACUAGACUGUAACUGACGCUGAUGCACGAAAGUGUGGGGAUCAAACAGGAUUAGAUACCCGAGUAGUC